rnacentral:precursor_RNA from 8 species
CGCUACCAAAACAACUCUCGACUCUCUAUUUUUGGCAAUAGAUAGAAUUCACUGUAUGAAGUCAACUAUCAGUGAUUCUGGUAUUGCCAAACCUGGAGACUAGAUCUGACAUCUUUGGAGAAG